rnacentral:tRNA from 1 species
GGAGGAUUGGCCGAGUGGCAAGGCACCGGCUUGCGCUGUGCUCAAUUAGAAGCAAGUCGCGGUCGGGGGAAACCCCGCGCACGUUCGAUCCGUGCAUCCUCCG